UACGGAGGGUGCAAACGUUGCUCGGAAUCAUUGGGCGUAAAGCGCACGUAGGCGGCCUGUUAAGUCGGAUGUGAAAGCCCCGGGCUCAACCCGGGAAGUGCAUACGAAACUGGCAGGCUUGAAUAUGGAAGAGGGUCGCGGAAUUCCUGGUGUAGAGGUGAAAUUCGUAGAUAUCGGGAGGAACACCAGUGGCGAAGGCGGCGACCUGGGCCAAUAUUGACGCUGAGGUGCGAAAGCGUGGGGAGCAAACAGG
rnacentral:rRNA from 1 species